GUCUAUCGCCAUGCCACCCUGAACAAGCCCGAUCCAGUCUGAUCUCAGGAAGCUAAGCAGGGUCAGGCCUGGAUAGUACUUGGAUAAGAGACCACCUAGGAAGACCAGGUGCUGUAGGUG
rnacentral:rRNA from 1 species